rnacentral:lncRNA from 1 species
AUUCUACCUAUAUUCUUUUUGAGAUUUCUUGCUAUUUAAACACUUGUCAAAUACAUUUGGACACCGGAAAUACCCAUCUUUCCUCUCCUCUUUGUCAGGGCCAGUAUCUUGCCUUAGCAGAUGAACACAGGAAAAUCAGUCUUCUCAGCCUCUGCCAUAAGAGAUCCGCAAACAGGGACUCUCUGGUGCUUAUCUUGUUUGGAGGAGAUGGAGUAUUUCUUCAAGAGGAAGUACAAGAUGUUUCUCUGAUAUCAUUCAAUCCAGGGCAUAGAAGAACUUAA